rnacentral:rRNA from 1 species
ACCGGCAAACGGGUGCGGAACACGUACACAACCUUCCUUUAAGUGGGGAAUAGCCUGAGGAAACUUGGAUUAAUAUCCCGUAAUAUUAUGAAGUGGCAUCACUUUAUACUUAUAGCUCCAGCGCUUAAUGAUGGGUGUGCGGCUGAUUAGAUAGUUGGCGGGGUAACGGCCCACCAAGUCUGCGAUCAGUAACUGGUGUGAGAGCACGACCAGUCACACGGGCACUGAGACACGGGCCCGACUCCUACGGGGGGCUGCAGUAACGAAUCUUCCGCAAUGCACGCAAGUGUGACGGAGCGACGCCGCGUGUAGGAUGAAGUCCUUCGGGAUGUAAACUACUGUCAGGGGGAAGAAAGUUCUGAUCUACCCCAAAGGAAGAGGCGGCUAACUCUGUGCCAGCAGCCGCGGUAAGACAGAGGCCUCGAGCGUUAGACGGAAUCACUGGGCUUAAAGCGUGUGUAGGCGGAAGGGUAAGUACCUUGUGAAAUCCCACGGCUCAACCGUGGAACUGCUUGGUAUACUGCUUUUCUUGAGCAAUCUAGGGGCGAGUGGAACAGAUGGUGGAGCGGUGAAAUGCGUAGAUAUCAUCUGGAACGCCAAUGGUGAAGACAACUCGCUGGGGAUUUGCUGACGCUGAGACACGAAAGCCAGGGGAGCGAACGGGAUUAGAUACCCCGGUAGUCCUGGCCCU